rnacentral:rRNA from 1 species
UACGUAGGGGGCAAGCGUUGGCCGGAUUCAUUGGGCGUAAAGAGCGUGUAGGCGGCCAGGUAGGUCGGUUGUGAAAACUGGAGGCUCAACCUUCAGAGGUCGACCGAAACCAUCUGGCUAGAGUCCGGGAGAGGAGAGUGGAAUUCCUGGUGUAGCGGUGAAAUGCGCAGAUAUCAGGAAGAACACCCGUGGCGAAAGCGGCUCUCUGGAACGGUACUGACGCUGAGACGCGAAAGCGUGGGGAGCGAACAGG